AUGGUGUCAAGUGUUGCAGAGUGUUGGGUACUGGUUUAUGAUACAUAUGGCACAACUAUCAGGAAACUGAUAUCAAGAGGUCUUGGCGCAUAUACUGCAAAUCUGUCUUGCUGGGACAGUGCAGUAUUCUUGCAAUUGAGUGGAGCACUGUGUAGUAGUGCGUUGGGAUCCAUUGUUUACCGAGUAAGAUCCGAUGAUCAGGUUUCGAAGUCGCUGUUUCGUGGUUGGUUUAUCUGA
rnacentral:lncRNA from 1 species